UACGUAGGGGGCAAGCGUUGCUCGGAAUCACUGGGCGUAAAGGGCGCGUAGGCGGCCAUUCAAGUCGGGGGUGAAAGCCUGUGGCUCAACCACAGAAUUGCCUUCGAUACUGUUUGGCUUGAGACCGGAAGAGGUAAGUGGAACUGCGAGUGUAGAGGUGAAAUUCGUAGAUAUUCGCAAGAACACCAGUGGCGAAGGCGGCUUACUGGUCCGGUUCUGACGCUGAGGCGCGAAAGCGUGGGGAGCAAACAGG
rnacentral:rRNA from 1 species